rnacentral:rRNA from 1 species
AACGAACGCUGGCGGCAGGCUUAACACAUGCAAGUCGAACGGGUGUAGCAAUACAUCAGUGGCGCACGGGUGAGUAACGCGUGGGAACGUGCCCUUAGGUACGGAACAACCUCGGGAAACUGAGGCUAAUACCGUAUAAUAUCUUCGGAUCAAAGAUUUAUCGCCUAAGGAUCGGCCCGCGUUGGAUUAGGUAGUUGGUGAGGUAACGGCUCACCAAGCCUACGAUCCAUAGCUGGUUUGAGAGGAUGAUCAGCCACACUGGGACUGAGACACGGCCCAGACUCCUACGGGAGGCAGCAGUGAGGAAUAUUGGACAAUGGGGGCAACCCUGAUCCAGCCAUGCCGCGUGAGUGAAGAAGGCCUUCGGGUUGUAAAGCUCUUUUACCCCUGACGAUAAUGACGGUACCCGAAGAAGAAGCCCCGGCUAACUUCGUGCCAGCAGCCGCGGUAAGAC